GGCGGACGGGUGAGUAAUACUUAGGAAUCUGCCCAUAAGUGGGGGACAACUAGAAGAAAUUCUAGCUAAUACCGCAUACGCCCUACGGGGGAAAGCGGGGGAUCUUCGGACCUCGCGCUAAUGGAUGAGCCUAAGUCGGAUUAGCUUGUUGGUGAGGUAAAGGCUCACCAAGGCGACGAUCCGUAGCUGGUCUGAGAGGACGACCAGCCACACUGGGACUGAGACACGGCCCAG
rnacentral:rRNA from 1 species